CACGUAGGGCGCAAGCGUUGUCCGGAAUUAUUGGGCGUAAAGGGCUCGUAGGCGGUUUGUCGCGUCGGGAGUGAAAUCCACUGGCUUAACUGGUGGCUUGCUUUCGAUACGGGCAGACUGGAGGUAUGCAGGGGAGAACGGAAUUCCUGGUGUAGCGGUGAAAUGCGUAGAUAUCAGGAGGAACACCGGUGGUGUAGACGGCUCUCUGGACCGUAACUGACGCUGAGACACGAAAGCGUGGGUAGCAAACAGG
rnacentral:rRNA from 1 species